GAGUUUGAUCCUGGCUCAGGACGAACGCUGGCGGCGCGCCUAACACAUGCAAGUCGAACGAGAGAGAGGGAGCUUGCUUCCUCAAUCGAGUGGCGAACGGGUGAGUAACGCGUGAGGAACCUGCCUCAAAGAGGGGGACAACAGUUGGAAACGACUGCUAAUACCGCAUAAGCCCACAGCUCGGCAUCGAGCAGAGGGAAAAGGAGCAAUCCGCUUUGAGAUGGCCUCGCGUCCGAUUAGCUAGUUGGUGAGGUAACGGCCCACCAAGGCAACGAUCGGUAGCCGGACUGAGAGGUUGAACGGCCACAUUGGGACUGAGACACGGCCCAGACUCCUACGGGAGGCAGCAGUGGGGAAUAUUGCACAAUGGGGGAAACCCUGAUGCAGCGACGCCGCGUGGAGGAAGAAGGUCUUCGGAUUGUAAACUCCUGUUGUUGAGGAAGAUAAUGACGGUACUCAACAAGGAAGUGACGGCUAACUACGUGCCAGCAGCCGCGGUAAAACGUAGGUCACAAGCGUUGUCCGGAAUUACUGGGUGUAAAGGGAGCGCAGGCGGGAAGACAAGUUGGAAGUGAAAUCUAUGGGCUCAACCCAUAAACUGCUUUCAAAACUGUUUUCUUGAGUAGUGCAGAGGUAGGCGGAAUUCCCGGUGUAGCGGUGGAAUGCGUAGAUAUCGGGAGGAACACCAGUGGCGAAAGCGGCCUACUGGGCACCAACUGACGCUGAGGCUCGAAAGUGUGGGUAGCAAACAGGAUUAGAUACCCUGGUAGUCCACACCGUAAACGAUGAUUACUAGGUGUUGGAGGAUUGACCCCUUCAGUGCCGCAGUUAACACAAUAAGUAAUCCACCUGGGGAGUACGACCGCAAGGUUGAAACUCAAAGGAAUUGACGGGGGCCCGCACAAGCAGUGGAGUAUGUGGUUUAAUUCGACGCAACGCGAAGAACCUUACCAAGUCUUGACAUCCCUUGACGAUGCUGGAAACAGUAUUUCUCUUCGGAGCAAGGAGACAGGUGGUGCAUGGUUGUCGUCAGCUCGUGUCGUGAGAUGUUGGGUUAAGUCCCGCAACGAGCGCAACCCUUACUGUCAGUUACUACGCAAGAGGACUCUGGCAGGACUGCCGUUGACAAAACGGAGGAAGGUGGGGAUGACGUCAAAUCAUCAUGCCCUUUAUAACUUGGGCUACACACGUACUACAAUGGCGUUAAACAAAGAGAAGCAAGACCGCGAGGUGGAGCAAAACUCAGAAACAACGUCCCAGUUCGGACUGCAGGCUGCAACUCGCCUGCACGAAGUCGGAAUUGCUAGUAAUCGUGGAUCAGCAUGCCACGGUGAAUACGUUCCCGGGCCUUG
rnacentral:rRNA from 1 species